rnacentral:rRNA from 1 species
UGUAGUAUAGACUGGCGAAGAAUGAAAUCUCAAGACCCAGUUUGGACUAACGGAGGCGAAGGCGACACUCUUAGACGUAUCUUAGGAUCAAGGACGAAGGCAGGAGUAUCGAAAGUGAUUAGACACCGCUGUAGUUCCUGCAGUAAACUAUGCCGACAGCCUGUGUGUGAGAAUACGUGGGCGGGAGAAUCUUAGUGUUCGGGCUCUGGGGAUAGUACGCUCGCAGGG